AUAAUAUUUUCGUAGAAAGUUACUGGAGAUCGAUGAAUAUUUUCAGCCUGCUAUAAAAAUAUUCAGACAUUUAUAAAGAGAUGUUAAGCUAGAAAAUUCCAAUAUUCCGUUACAAUUGCUAUUUAUUUCUUCAAAUGGAUGAGCCGAGUUACACUUUGUCACGAUACGAGCAUCGUAUUAAACAACGCGGUUGUUUAAAAGAUAGUACACGUACGCCUGAACGAUCGAUGGAUUCGAUGGACAAUGCCGCUGUAGGAUAAACAGCUCGACAAUUUAGAUCUCUGUAGCCGACAUCGAGCGUGGUGUUGGGUGAAUCCUGAGGGGUGGCUGCCGUCUUUCUAUAAUGUAUACUUGCGUCAAGAACAUAUUACAAGCAAACGGAGCAAACCUCUGUGAAAUUCACGAGAAGCAAAAUGGAACCAAAACGGUGUCAAAAUGGAAAGUAAAAUGAAACUAAACUGAAGAUCGGAGUAAAAUCGGGAUAAAGAUCAGGUGGAUGGCUAUGCAAAAACUCGAAGGAUUAGAAUAUAAAAUACGAUGGAAAUAGUGAAACAUUUUUGACAUCGUCCCAGUUCCUCCUACUUUAUAUCUGAAGAUGUUUGUUCUUCCAAAUACCUGUACUCUCGUUGCGUCGAAACAACGAAAGUAAAUGUAGCGUUCGAGGAACCUGGAAUUCUAAACUCGGCGAUUUCCUAAGAAAAGUAAACAUUUUAUCCUGUAUAAAACUAAAGUAUCGUUUGAUUUAUGUCUUCCUUAGCGACGCAAACAAUUUUUUUACUAGAAGAUUUUAAGCAGACGCGUGCUUUUUUAAUUUGAUUAAUGGUGAUAGGAGCUGUCCACUGAUCAAUAAAUAAAGCUCCUUUGAUAGAUUGCUCUUUACCCUCUCUUCUUCCAACAAAUUGCUUCUUGCACAGAAUAUUUCGGAAACCUGUACGGUAUAUACAUAACACGAGAUGAUCGAUAAAGCUUGAAGAGGAGCAAGAUGCAAGAACCUCGUGACGAACCUGUAAGUUCUCAUACUGUACUUCAAAUAUCUUUGGCUUUUUCAUUUUUAUAUGGACCAGCUGUUGUUUGCAUGAUUAAUGUAUCCCAGAGAAUAUAAGAUGAUCCGCACGAGACCUCACUAUGUUUACAGAGAACAAUUCCAAAGUGAAUUUGUUUGUUCGCGUCACUCGUUUAGGGGAUAUUUUCUGUCCAAGGGCACCGUCCAAUUGUUGAAAUUUAGAGAAUUACAACGUCCCUUCUGCAAGUUUCUUUCCUUUUCUUUUUUACUCUUUUCUAAACGAAUGGAAAUUACGAGGAUCCUACGAUCUUACAAUUAUUUUACGAUUCUCCAGAUCCUAUCGACUUACUCUUAAUUAUACGUCGAAACAUUUUCGCCAAAUGAUGGAAAUUCUGUUGGAUUCUGAGAUUAGUGGUCGUGUGGUUGCUA